rnacentral:lncRNA from 1 species
AUUGACAAUGUCAUUUUCAAGGACAAAGAGCAAGGACCACAGAAAAACCGAAAAAUCAAAAUAAUAAAUAUUUUUAGAUAUUUAUUAUUUUGAUUAAAUAUUUUUAUAAUACUUGUGAUUGUGAUUAAAUAAUCAUUAUUCAAUUUACAAUAUUCAUUUCGAGUAAUUUAAAUUAGUUGGUGCUUAGAUUACCUUGAUUGUCGAUUGUUAUUUCUACUAACAAAUUUUAGGGUAGAAAAAACAAAAAACUUUGCUUCACAGAAAAAAGACAUGGAGUUUGAUCCAGAGGCAGUAAGCGAUUUGCUAGAUAAACUAGUAUUACACCAACUGCAUUUGAUGGAGGACAAGAUGGCUUGUGAAUUGAACAUAGAAAAGAGUAUAAACAAUGGUAGUAUUCAUUUGGCAAAGUCUAGAUACAUUAUGGGACAGAGUUCUGUUAGCAAAGAGCGACUGCCAACAGAGAGCAGCCCAGAGUUUUCUGCCUCUGUUACAUGUGAGUCCAUUGAAGAAGACAAUCAAAGAAAAUUGAAGGUGAUUGAAACAGAGGACAAUAGUGUAAACCCUCUGCACUGGUUUGGUGUGUUGGUCCCCCAGAAUUUACACAAGGCAAAAGGUAUUUUCCAGAAUACAAUCAAUUUUAUUGUUGAAUGUGCAAAUGUUCAGUUACAAAUAUAUGAAAACAUAAAGAAUAUUGAAGCAUUGAGAUAUUUUAAAAAUAAUGUUAGUUCAUAAAACUAGUGUUUUCAUCUUAGUACAGCAGAUUACAGUACUGUGAGUAGAUACCUAGUUAUUAAAAUAGAGAUUUCAAAAAAUGUAUCUAAUUAAUUAUAUCUAUACAUUCAAGAAUGAAUAUUUUUUUUAUGCUUGUAAAUUGUAGCAGAGUUAUAAUAUCUGCAUAGUUUGGCUUGUUGUGUCUUCAGAGAGGACUAGAACUGUGGUGCAUAUUAUAUACUUUUCAUCAAAAAAAUCUAAACAGCCGGCCUGUUGUUAUUUACUGAUUGUUUUGAUUUUUUUGAUGAGAAUGUCUAAUCUGACUUAAUCAUGAUGAUAGACAAAUUUUUUCACUUUGAUCCAUGUCACCGUGCAUUUAGUUUACUCUCUGAAAGGUUAUAAAAACCCACCUAACUGACGUUUCCCAAGGAGGAUUGACGAAGGCAGGCAGCAGGUCAUAAAAUCACUAGCCAAAACCAUUAAAAAUAUGACAAAAUAAAACUUGUCACUUAAGUGGGAUAAGGAAAAGGAGAUUAAGAUGAUUAGUUUAUUUUCUGGCCCUCAAGUCUAUAUGAAAUGUUAUUUAUAGAUGAAGUUUGAGAGGUGUAGGGAUGUGUGUUAACCAUGGGGUGUCUGCAAGCCUAAAUAAAAGCUGUUGUAUUAAAAUAAAAUUAAACAACAUUUUAUUUCAUGUACAUAGGUAUUUAUUUAUUCAGAGCGACAACUGCUAUUCAUGUUUUAAUUAACAAUUAAUGGUAUUACUGUACAAGCAUGAUUUAAUCAUAGUUAUAAAUUACAAUGUUCCAUAUGCAAUGCAUAAGUAAUACAGGCAAUAAAAAAAUACUCUUACAAUUACAAUUUGUAUUAUUCAGAUUUGCAAUCAAAAUUGUAAUUACACACAUACAAGUACUUACAAAAUACAGUAAAAUCUAAAAAUUUGGUUUAAUCAACAAGAAAGUAGACAAACACAACACUGUUUAGUGAAUUCCAAGUGGUUCUUGUAAAGACAUGCAACAGUCAAAAAGGUGAAAGAUAAAACAAUACAAUUUUUAACAACUUCAUUGGAUGCUUCCAUGGCUAUGCUAAAGUACUACAAUCUUAACUGAACGGAGUAGCUAUUCAAAAUGACAAACACAGCUUUGGGACCUGCAGCUGAAUUUAAAAGUAUGGUCCAAAAGUCUGUUGUAGCCCAGUUUUUUGCGAUUUUAUAAAAACUGAAAUUUAAGUUCUACUCCUUUUAGCUGGCUUUGAGAGGUAAAAUGUCAAAGAUCCAAACUCAAUCACAAAUAAUCAUGUCACAGUCACACACUUGGACACUUGGUUUCCUGGCAAGUUCACUAAAAAGUUUAACAGUUUUUUUAAAGGCAAAUUAAAAAAUAUACAGGAUGCUUGGGAGUAUUUCCCAUAACUUCAAGGUUUUGACGAGUCACUUAUAGUAGCCAAACUAAAAAUAAAAACUUUUUAUGUUUUCAUACAAAGUAAUUCAAAUAAUUCCGACCAUCCAUGUAGCACACGCCUUUA